rnacentral:rRNA from 1 species
AGGACGAACGCUGGCGGCGUGCUUAACACAUGCAAGUCGAGCGGUAAGGCCUUUCGGGGUACACGAGCGGCGAACGGGUGAGUAACACGUGGGUGAUCUGCCCUGCACUCUGGGAUAAGCCUGGGAAACUGGGUCUAAUACCGGAUAUGACCUGCUCUCGCAUGGGGGGUGGGUGGAAAGAUUUAU